UUAUGGAAAGAUGAUCCCUCCCUUCUAAAAACUCAAUGACAAAGAGUGGCAAGGGUUCAGGCCUGGGAACAGACAGGACAAAACAAAGAGGGAUGUGUUAGGAUGGCUCCUCCGUCCCCAGGGACUGUUGGGAAAGCAAGGACACCAGAAACCACGCUGGGGAUGAGGGCCAAACACUGGGCAGAGGAGCCAAGCCUGCGGGGAGUGACCCUUCCCAACUUCAGCAAGGACAGUGGUAAGGAGUGGCUGCAGGAAAAUCCGGGGUGGACUCCCAAGGUCCAGAGACCUCCACAGGACAGGGGUCUCGCCUUUGCGUGGGGUCCUACUAGCUCCUGACAGAGGCCUCUGGAAGCAUUCAGGGUGGUCCCAAAUACCCAGACAUCCUUGAAGCCAUCUAGGCUCAUGAAAACCAUCUAGAGCCUUUGAAUGCCAAUGAGAACUGCUUCCUGGACAUGUGGCUAGAUCUACGGCAGCACUGACAAGAUGGGACAAAAGAGAAAGAAAAGAAGGGAGGAAAAAAGGUCGGGACCCUAGGGGCUGAGAAGGUAGGAGAUGGGCUGGGCACAGUAGUGCACGCCUAUAAUCCCAGCGGCUCGGGAGGCUGUGACAGGAGGGUCGUGAGUUCAAAGCCAGCCUCAACUAUGGUGAGGUUCUAAGCAAAUCAGUGAGACCCUGACUCUAAAUAAAAUACAAAAUAGGGCUGGGGAUGUGGCUCAG
rnacentral:lncRNA from 1 species